CCUACGGGAGGCUGCAGUGGGGAAUAUUGCACAAUGGGCGCAAGCCUGAUGCAGCCAUGCCGCGUGUGUGAAGAAGGCCUUCGGGUUGUAAAGCACUUUCAGCGGGGAGGAAGGCGUUAAGGUUAAUAACCUUGUCGAUUGACGUUACCCGCAGAAGAAGCACCGGCUAACUCCGUGCCAGCAGCCGCGGUAAUACGGAGGGUGCAAGCGUUAAUCAGAAUUACUGGGCGUAAAGCGCACGCAGGCGGCCUGUCAAGUCGGAUGUGAAAUCCCCGGGCUCAACCUGGGAACUGCAUUCGAAACUGGCAGGCUAGAGUCUUGUAGAGGGGGGUAGAAUUCCAGGUGUAGCGGUGAAAUGCGUAGAGAUCUGGAGGAAUACCGGUGGCGAAGGCGGCCCCCUGGACAAAGACUGACACUCAGGUGCGAAAGCGUGGGGAGCAAACAGGAUUAGAUACCCGUGUAGUC
rnacentral:rRNA from 1 species